AGCGAACGCUGGCGGCAGGCCUAACACAUGCAAGUCGAACGGAUCCUUCGGGAUUAGUGGCGGACGGGUGAGUAACACGUGGGAACGUGCCUUUUGGUUCGGAACAACUCAGGGAAACUUGAGCUAAUACCGGAUGUGCCCUUCGGGAGAAAGAUUUAUCGCCAUUAGAGCGGCCCGCGUCUGAUUAGCUUGUUGGUGAGGUAAAGGCUCACCAAGGCUACGAUCAGUAGCUGGUCUGAGAGGAUGAUCAGCCACACUGGGACUGAGACACGGCCCAGACUCCUACGGGAGGCAGCAGUGGGGAAUCUAGCGCAAUGGGCGAAAGCCUGACGCAGCCAUGCCGCGUGAAUGAUGAAGGUCUUAGGAUUGUAAAAUUCUUUCACCGGGGACGAUAAUGACGGUACCCGGAGAAGAAGCUCCGGCUAACUUCGUGCCAGCCGCCGCAGUAACAC
rnacentral:rRNA from 1 species